UACGUGAGGGGCGAACGUUGUUCGGUGUCACUGGGCUUGAAGGGCGCGUAGGUGGUUGCGUAAGUAACGUGUGAAAUCCCUCGGCUUACCCGGGGAGUUGCAUGUUAUACUGCGUGACUUGAGGAUCAGAGGGGAAUGGGGAACUCCAGGUGUAGCGGUGAAAUGCGCAGAUAUCGGGAGGAACACCAGUAGCGAAGGCGGCACUCUGGGCCGGUACUGACGCUGAGGAGCGAAAGCGUGGGGAGCAAACAGG
rnacentral:rRNA from 1 species